rnacentral:rRNA from 1 species
GUACCUGAGGGAAUCAGCAUCGAGCUAAUUUCCGUGCCAGCAGCCGCGGUAAUACGGAGGAUGCAAGCGUUAUCCUGGAAUUCAUUGGGGCGUAAAGCGUCCCUAAGCGGGUAUUUCAAAGUCUGCUGUUAAAAGCCCCGGGGCUCAACCCCGGAGGAGCAGUGGAAACUGGAGUACUGGAGUGCGGUAGGGGGUAGAGGGAAUUUCCCGGUGUAGCGGUGAAAUGCGUAGAUAUCGGGAAGAACACCAGUGGGGAAAAGCGCUCUACUGGACCAUAACUGACACUGAUGGACGAAAGCUAGGGGAGCGAAUGGGAUUAGAUACCCCAGUAGUCCUAGCCGUAAACGAUGGACACUAGGUGUUGCACGUAUCGACCCGUGCAGUGCCGUAGCCAACGCGUUAAGUGUCCCGCCUGGGGAGUACGCUCGCAAGAGUGAAACUCAAAGGAAUUGACGG